rnacentral:rRNA from 1 species
UACGUAGGGUGCAAGCGUUAAUCGGAAUUACUGGGCGUAAAGCGUGCGCAGGCGGUGAUGUAAGACAGAUGUGAAAUCCCCGGGCUCAACUUGGGAACUGCAUUUGUGACUGCAUCGCUGGAGUGCGGCAGAGGGGGAUGGAAUUCCGCGUGUAGCAGUGAAAUGCGUAGAUAUGCGGAGGAACACCGACGCGAAGGCAAUCCCCUGGGCCUGCACUGACGCUCAUGCACGAAAGCGUGGGGAGCAAACAGG